rnacentral:rRNA from 1 species
UGGGGAAUUUUGGACAAUGGGCGAAAGCCUGAUCCAGCAAUGCCGCGUGUGUGAAGAAGGCCUUCGGGUUGUAAAGCACUUUUGUCCGGAAAGAAAUCCUUGGCUCUAAUACAGUCGGGGGGUGACGGUACCGGAAGAAUAAGCACCGGCUAACUACGUGCCAGCAGCCGCGGUAAUACGUAGGGUGCAAGCGUUAAUCGGAAUUACUGGGCGUAAAGCGUGCGCAGGCGGUUUGCUAAGACCGAUGUGAAAUCCCCGGGCUCAACCUGGGAACUGCAUUGGUGACUGGCAGGCUAGAGUAUGGCAGAGGGGGGUAGAAUUCCACGUGUAGCAGUGAAAUGCGUAGAGAUGUGGAGGAAUACCGAUGGCGAAGGCAGCCCCCUGGGCCAAUACUGACGCUCAUGCACGAAAGCGUGGGGAGCAAAACAGGAUUAGAUACCCUGGUAGUCCACGCCCUAAACGAUGUCAACUAGUUGUUGGGGAUUCAUUUCCUUAGUAACGUAGCUAACGCGUGAAGUUGACCGCCUGGGGAGUACGGUCGCAAGAUUAAAACUCAAAUGAAUUGACGGGGUCAUAGCUGUUUCCU